GUAGUGACCUGCGGAGGAUCAUU
rnacentral:rRNA from 1 species